GCCCGUCACACCAUGGGAGUGGGUUGCUCCAGAAGUAGCUAGUCUAACCGCAAGGGGGACGGUUACCACGGAGUGAUUCAUGACUGGGGUGAAGUCGUAACAAGGUAGCCGUAGGGGAACCUGCGGCUGGAUCACCUCCUUAAUCGAAGAUCUCAGCUUCUUCAUAAGCUCCCACACGAAUUGCUUGAUUCACUGGUUAGACGAUUGGGUCUGUAGCUCAGUUGGUUAGAGCGCACCCCUGAUAAGGGUGAGGUCGGCAGUUCGAAUCUGCCCAGACCCACCAAUUGUUGGUGUGCUGCGUGAUCCGAUACGGGGCCAUAGCUCAGCUGGGAGAGCGCCUGCUUUGCACGCAGGAGGUCAGGAGUUCGAUCCUCCUUGGCUCCACCAUCUAAAACAAUCGUCGAAAGCUCAGAAAUGAAUGUUCGUAGAUGAACAUUGAUUUCUGGUCUUUGCACCAGAACUGUUCUUUAAAAAUUCGGGUAUGUGAUAGAAGUAAGACUGAAUGAUCUCUUUCACUGGUGAUCAUUCAAGUCAAGGUAAAAUUUGCGAGUUCAAGCGCGAAUUUUCGGCGAAUGUCGUCUUCACAGUAUAACCAGAUUGCUUGGGGUUAUAUGGUCAAGUGAAGAAGCGCAUACGGUGGAUGCCUUGGCCCCAGAGGCG
rnacentral:misc_RNA from 1 species